rnacentral:rRNA from 1 species
GACGAACGCUGGCGGCGUGCCUAACACAUGCAAGUCGAACGGGACCAGGGGCAACUCUGGUUCAGUGGCGGACGGGUGCGUAACACGUGAGGAACAUGACCUUCGGCGGGGGAUAGCCGGCCCAACGGCCGGGUAAUACCGCGUACGACCUUUCGGGGACAUCCCUGGAUGGUGAAAGCAGCAAUGCGCCGAUGGAGUGCCUCGCGGCCUAUCAGCUAGUUGGUGGGGUAACGGCCUACCAAGGCGACGACGGGUAGCUGGUCUGAGAGGAUGGCCAGCCACAUUGGGACUGAGACACGGCGCAGACUCCUACGGGAGGCAGCAGUGGGGAAUAUUGCGCAAUGGACGAAAGUCUGACGCAGCGACGCCGCGUGUGGGAUGACGGUCUUCGGAUUGUAAACCACUGGCGGGAGGGACGAAUACGCCGCAAGGCGGGUGACGGUACCUCCAAAGGAAGCACCGGCUAACUCCGUGCCAGCCGCCGCCGUAA